CUCUCCCACCUGUACCUGGAUGAAGUGCCGCCGGCAUUUCUGGGCAAUCUUGAUGAAUGUGUCACACGCCAUGUCCUGAACUCCAUCAUGGGUCUCUGAUGGCAAAGGACCAUUGACGGCGCAUUCUUCAUCAAGAAGGAAUAUUAAGCCCACCUUGAUGACUGUGACCAAGAACCUCUUUUCAUCCUCUUCAUGCAUCGCCCCGCUGAUCGAUCCAAUGGCCCAACACAAUGUGUUGAGAUUCUUCCAGGACCACUCAGUACCGUUCACCUGGUUGUGAAGCUUCUCAGUCAUGAUACGCUCAGUGUCUGCAUAGUCCAAGUGAGUCAGGUAUACUGCAGAGAAGCACACAUUCAUGAUUAGUCUUUCACUGAAGCAAAUCCUUGCGUAGACCAUUAAGUGGGACAGAAUAUGGGAGACCUACCAAGUGUUUCUCUCAUGUUUUUGUAGAGGUUUAUGGAAUCGGUGUCCUUCAUGAACUCUCUGACUACCUCCCCUUGGUCAUUCUCCACCACCAGGACUUCCUCUGGUUUUGCCAUCCGGCUGACCAUCAGCAGUCGAACCUAUUGGGCGUGCGUGGGCGCAAAGAAAAUUGAAUGAAAAGAUCAUCCAAAAUAUGUACAAUAAUAAAACCAUAUCAAUAGCACGCACAACAAUUUAACAAGUUAUCAGACCCGUCCGUGUCUUAUUUGCCACCACGGGAGCGAGGAGUGGUACCUUGGACAGGACGGGCAGGUAGAGCUGCCUGCGCGGUGGCACAUCAAAGUGCUGGUUUCCGGACAGCAACGGCGACGUGCAUGUGGAAAACGGACUCUCUCGGUACAGCUCGGCCGCCAAAUGGUUCCAAUAUUCCAAACAAAUUUUAAAGAUUUCUGUCUCUUCCACUUCUGACACCAGUAGCAUGUAGUGAAGCGCCUGAAGCAGAACAGGAAGAUCAGAAACCCGUUUGUCUGCUCCGAUCCUGAAAUAUUUUCCCCGUCCAUCCUCUGGAUCGGCAACUUACCUCCAUUAACGUUUCUCUGAGGUAAAGCCGUGUUUCAAUGAGCGUCCCGUGCUCUUUCAGGAAAGUACAAAGGAACAGACUGAGAUUCUGGAUAAAGUUCUGCUCCUCAUCUUUCCCAUUGGCGUAAGCCAGACGGAUGUUAGUGUUGAGGGGAAGCAUCUAGAUUAAAAAAAAUUUGGGUUAGAGUUCCAUUUUGCAUGGGCCAAAAAGGACACUUGCGUUUGCCAUCAAGGUCACCUGCUUGAGUUGACACAUUGUCAGGGUGAAGAGUGUGACAAACUGGUCCUCGUACUGGCUGACGCUUACUCCAGCAAUUUCAGUCAAACACUUGAGCGUCACAUUGCGGAACAUGGGAACGUUCAGGAACUAAAAAGAAUCAGAGGAGAUACUCAACUACGUUUUUAUCAUAUAAUCAACCUAUCUAUCGCAAGCUUACCUUAUACACUAAUGUGCUGAUGAGCUUGGUUUCAAAGAUAUAGCCCAGAGGAAUCCAGUUAAGGAAACGUAAGAGGGUCUCCAAAGUGGCAUGAACCAGGGGGGCAUUCUGGGAAUUUUCCUAAAAUACAACAUGAUGACAUUUAAAAACAAAAAACAUGAUGACGAGGGACUGGGAUUUAGAACAUACCAUAACAAACUGGCAAAGCUGGAAUAUCUGGGAGAAUUCAUUGCACAUACUGAAAGAAACACAAGGGCAUAUUAUUAGCGAUACAGUACGCAGCAGUUGGUCAAUGUUGCGCUUUUAAGUAGAGUACUCUACUAACCUGUCUUUUAGAUGUUUAGCUUUGACCUGGGUCAUCUGGCCACUGGAAAAGUCAAAGACCUCCUCGCUCAGCAGUUUGAGAAUGACCAUGUUGUUCUGGCAAAGACUCUCGCUGGUUCGGCUUGCUCCCACAAUGUCGCUGAUGAAGGUGGGCCAGUGCUUGGGCCAUUCCUGCUUCAAGAUCUACACACAGAA